UUUAUAUACAAUAAAUAUAUGGAGAACUCUUAAUUUCCAUUUUCCUGUAUAUUUCAAAGGCAAAGAGACAACAUUACCAGAAGUUAAUAAUCAUAACAAAUUGUGCAAAUACCUAUGACCCUACCAGACAGAGGAACUGGCAUCUACACCUGAUCAGUAUCCCAAACUGCACCUUGUUGCUGUUGCUGUUUUGUCUGUAGACUAAUGGUGCUAGAAAUUAUGAAUAUUUUCAUCUUGUAUAGGAGUGAAAGGAGCUUCUCCAAGGAUUGAGUUUAACUUGCUCCAUUGAGGAUGAAAAUUCCAGACACAAGGAAGCUAAGUCUAUGGUGACUGCCCUCUGCAGCAUAGCAGAACAUAGGAGAUGCAAACAGACCAAGGACAAACACCUUUGGGAAGAAUUUCCACCUGCCAGUGUGGCAAAACUCCGGAGAGGACAAGGAUAGGCAUUUAUCAUCAUCUUUCCAGAGAAUGCUACAGGAAGCAAUUACUACCACGUUUACAGCCCAUUCAGGAGGGAAUCCUGCACCACAAUCUGGCUGUUUACGUGCUAAGCAAGGAUUUCUACAAAGACUAAACAAGGUAAUAACAUGAAGACAAAAAUUAAACCUGGUGGAUAGUUUUUGUUAUUUGCUG